AUUGAACGCUGGCGGCGUGCCUAACACAUGCAAGUCGAGCGGUAGCAGGCGUAGCAAUACGUGCUGACGAGCGGCGAACGGGUGAGCAAUGCUUCGGAAUCUGCCCAAUGGUGGGGAAUAACCAGCCGAAAGGUUGGCUAAUACCGCAUACGCCCUACGGGGAAAGCAGGGGAUCGCAAGACCUUGCGCCGAUGGAUGAGCCGAAGUCGGAUUAGCUAGUUGGUAGGGUAACGGCCGUACCAAGGCGACGAUCCGUAGCUGGUCUGAGAGGAUGAUCAGCCACACUGGGACUGAGACACGGCCCAGACUCCUACGGGAGGCAGCAGUGGGGAAUAUCGGACAAUGGGCGAAAGCCUGAUCCAGCAAUGCCGCGUGUGUGAAGAAGGCCUGCGGGUUGUAAAGCACUUUCAGUAGGGAAGAUUAUGACGGUACCUACAGAAGAAGCACCGGCUAACUCCGUGCCAGCAGCCGCGGUAAUGUG
rnacentral:rRNA from 1 species